AUUUAAGUAGUUUAUAUAAAAUAUAAAGUUGUGGUCUUUAUGAAGUUUGGGCCUUAAAUC
rnacentral:tRNA from 1 species